AUGUUCUCCAAGCCAGUAAUCAAAGAAGUCUUAAAGUUCAGGCGUUGCAUUCACUUGGAAGUCUUCUCAUCUUUGCAGAAAAGAAAAGGGCUGCUUUUAAGUGUUGGUGUCAAGCUCUUGAUGACAUAUUCAGAAAACCAGACGUGCUGCACACAUGGAAAGAGUUUGGCCCCUCACUCACCAAUGUCACCGACAGCCAUUCACCUCUGGGUUUCAAAGACUACAGUGAGGAGUUUCUGUCAAAAGUUGGCAUCUGGGGGUGUUUGCAAGGAGCAGUCAUAUCAGCCAAGAUAGCACAGUGAGUGUGAGGAUGGAAGGAUGUGUGUACUAGCUAACAGCUUCCUUGCAGGGUGCCCUUCUCGUGUCAUGAAAAGUGUUGUGCCUCACGCACACUGGAUUUCUGGGAGAUUGUGUCUGUAUCAUACAGGGCCUUACACUUUAUUUACUUAUUUGUGAUGUUUAUUGCUUGUAAUUAUCUCCUUUUCCUGUAACACGAUGCUUGCCCCAAAUAUCAGUGUCACCUGGGCCCAGGUGUUUGCCUUGCUCACUGAUGGAUCCCAAGUGCCAGGCAUGUAGCUGGCAUUCAGUAACUACUUGUGUUGUUGUUUUUUUUGAGAUGGAGUCACGCUCUGUCACCCAGGCUGGAGUACAGUGGCUCCAUCUCAGCUCACUGUGACCUCCUUCUUCUGGGUUCAAGAGAUUUUUCUGCCUCAGCCUCUUGAGUAGCUGGGAUUACAGGUGCCCACCACCAUGCCCAGCUAAUUCUUUUGUAUUUUUAGUAGUAACAGGGUUUCACCAUGUUGGCUAGGCUGGUCUGGAACUCUUGGCUUCCAGUGAUCUGCCCACCUCACCUUCCCAAAGUGCUGGGAUUAUAGGUGUGAGCACCCGCGUCUGGCUCAACAACUACUUGCUGCGGUGUCAAAUGAAUGAGCAGUUUGUGUGGGAGCAAGAAAACAAUGUGGAGGCAGUCAGGCAUGGGCCUCAUCCAAGAGUAUACUAGAAUCCAGUUACUUUCAACAAGUUUCACUUUCCUUCUGAGCCUCAGUGUCCUCAUCUCUAAGCCAGGGUGGUAAAAAUUACAUGAUAUACUGUAUCAAUUUCCUGGGGUGGUCAUAACGAAUCACCACAGGCUGGGUGACUUAAACAACAGAACUUUGUUAUCUCAUGAUUCUGAAGGCUGGAAUUUGGAGAACAAGGUGUUGGUGAAUUGGUUUCUUCUGAAGCCUCUCUUCUUGGCUUGGACACAGGGAAGACCACUGUGUCCACAUGUGGUCUUUCCUCGGCAUGUCAGUGU
rnacentral:lncRNA from 13 species